rnacentral:misc_RNA from 1 species
GAGAAGCCAAGCUGAGCGGAGAGAAGUCUACCUCAGCUCAUCCUCUCUUUCUCUGUUAAUCAUCCACAAAGCUUUUAGUUCACGCGUCUCUCUGCACUAGACACCCAUACUUACCAAGGUGAAAAAGAGUAUCAAACAAAAUUCUACCCAAUUUUUUUUCAUUCUCUUCUCAUGCAAUCCCUUACUUUCUUCAACCCCAUCUCUUUCUAAAACUGCCAAUUAUCCCCCAAAACAUCUCAUCUUCUUCAGCAAUGUACUUAUCGGAAAAGCCUAGACCCAUAGAUUUCUAUAAAGAAGAAGUACUGCCCACCACCACCAGAGAUAACAUGAUUAUCGAAGUUGACUCUACCAGUGGUGACUUGACACCUCAUCAGCACCAUCUUCACAAUCCUCACCAGCAACAGCAGCAGCAGCACCAACAACAACAGAUGAUUCUAGGCGAGAGCAGUGGUGAGGAUAACCAUGAAGUGAAAGCCCCUAAAAAGCGAGCUGAGACAUGGGUUCAAGAUGAAACUCGAAGCUUGAUAGCUCUUCGCCGAGACAUGGAUGGUUUGUUCAAUACUUCUAAGUCGAACAAACACUUGUGGGAUCAAAUAUCGGCCAAAAUGAGGGAAAAGGGAUUCGAUCGAUCUCCCACUAUGUGUACCGACAAGUGGAGGAACUUGUUGAAAGAGUUCAAGAAGUCUAAGCAUCAAGAUAGAGGGAGUGGGUCUGCCAAAAUGUUUUAUUAUAAGGAGAUUGAUGAGAUAUUAAGGGAGAGGAGCAAGAAUGCCCAGUAUAAGAGUCCCACUCCUACUUCAAAAGUUGAUUCCUAUAUGCAAUUUGCUGAUAAAGGCUUUGAUGAUACAAGUAUAUCUUUUGGACCUGUGGAAGCUAGUGGCAGGCCAACUCUCAACCUUGAAAGACGUUUGGAUCAUGAUGGACAUCCUCUCGCCAUCACUGCAGCUGAGGCAGUUGCAGCAAGUGCAGUUCCUCCAUGGAAUUGGAGGGAGACUCCCGGAAAUGGUGCUGAGAGCCAGUCAUUUGGUGGAAGAGUGAUAACAGUUAAGUAUGGGGACUAUACAAGAAGAAUUGGUAUUGAUGGCACAGCGGAUGCCAUCAAGGAGGCAAUCAAGUCGGCUUUCAGAUUAAGGACUAAACGUGCAUUUUGGUUGGAGGAUGAAGACCAAAUAAUUCGUAGUCUUGACAAGGACAUGCCUGUGGGGAAUUACACUCUUCACCUUGAUGAAGGAUUAGCUGUCAAAGUGUGUCUAUAUGAUGAGUCAGACCACAUUCCGGUGCAUACUGAGGAAAAAAUUUUUUACACUGAAGAUGACUACCGUGAUUUUCUGAAUCGCCGUGGCUGGUCAUGCCUAAGGGAGUUUGAUGGGUAUAGAAACAUUGAUAACAUGGAUGAUCUUCGACCUGGUGCUAUCUAUCGUGGUGUGAGUUGAGAGCAUAUUUAUUCCAUUUUCAUGGCUUGCAGCGUUCCUGAAGUGAUUGUUAUUAUAUGCUUCUUGUCAAUGCACGCCAGUGUGGAACUGUAUAACGCAAUUGUGUAUAGCUAUAACUAUAAUAUCAGGUUAUCGACAAUGCUAUGUCAUAUGUAUGUACCUUGUAAAUAUGUACCUCCUUUGACAACAAAGGAUUCCAGAUUUUUCUGGCAUCAAUUUUUGUUUACUUGUCUUUUUUUAUUCUUGGACAUGUGGAUACUUGAAGUUGUUGGUAUUGUGAACCUUUGAAAUCCAGUUGGUUUGACAGUUAAGA